AAAUAGGCCCAUCAUCCGGCCAUUCGCCCCUAGCUGUGCGCGACAGACACUAGCCAGGAUGUCCUGAUACUAUGCCACAAUACUCUGUUAGCCUAUCAGACAAGGUAUUCACAGCAAGUAACAUCUCAAAACCAAUGAUGAUAAUUGGGGUAGCCUUCAAAUAAAAACAAAAAAUGUAAAAUGCAAUUACAUCUGUAUUGAAAAUAA